AACGAACGCUGGCGGCAUACCUAACACAUGCAAGUCGAACGAGACCUUCGGGUCUAGUGGCGCACGGGUGCGUAACGCGUGGGAACCUGCCCUUAGGUUCGGAAUAACUCCCCGAAAGGGGUGCUAAUACCGGAUAAUGUCUUCGGACCAAAGAUUUAUCGCCUUUGGAUGGGCCCGCGUUGGAUUAGCUAGUUGGUAGGGUAAAAGCCUACCAAGGCGACGAUCCAUAGCUGGUCUGAGAGGAUGAUCAGCCACACUGGGACUGAGACACGGCCCAGACUCCUACGGGAGGCAGCAGUGGGGAAUAUUGGACAAUGGGCGAAAGCCUGAUCCAGCAAUGCCGCGUGAGUGAUGAAGGCCUUAGGGUUGUAAAGCUCUUUUACCCGGGAUGAUAAUGACAGUACCGGGAGAAUAAGCUCCGGCUAACCCCGUG
rnacentral:rRNA from 1 species